rnacentral:lncRNA from 1 species
CUCUUUAAAGUCAUUUUCAUAUAGUUCAAUUAAUUAUUAAAAGGGAGAAAAUGUGUUGUGUGAGCAAAGGAAAACGUGUAUAUUUAUUGUCAGAUUAAAAAAAAAUAUUUUCCCUGUUGUGAAUGAACAUUUUAAUACCUAAUAGAAGUGGGGGAAAGCACCUUUAUUUUGAAACAAACUGCUAAAAUAUUUGUAUGUUUCUGAUUUGGGACAGUUUUGGAGAGAAUAAUCUGUGGAGUGGAUUUAAAGAAAAUUUUGGGAGCUAUGUCUCUCUAAAAGGCAAGUCACUGAGAGUCAAGUGACUCCAAUUUAAGUCAUUUAAAUAUGAGAAUGAUAGGAAAAGGGUAGGUGAAGAAAGUAGAGAGAACAGAGCAGGGGACUGACAUUUAGUGCCUGAUAUGUGCCAGACAUUGUGCUAAGAGCUUUACAUUUAUUAUCUCAUUUGGUUGUCACAACAACCUUGGGAAGUAGCAGUUUUUAUUACCCCCAUCUUACAGAGAAGGAAAUUGAGGCAAACAGAGGUUAAGUGUCUUGCCCUGAGUCACAUAGCUAGUAAAUGUCUGAAGCUAAAUUUGAAACUUACUUUAUUAGAACCCUGGAAGUUAGAGAAAAUUGACUGAGAUAAGGCUUCAGCAGUGAUGGUCAAUUGAUUGGGGAGAAAUUAUUUCAUUGAUCAAAAGCAGUAGUGAUAGCUUUUACCCUAAUUACCACCUAGAAUUGGAGAAAGGUGAAGCUUGUUUGGUUUCCCCCAUUGGUCUGUUUGUUUUUUACUCUCUGCUGCCUCUUCUUGCUGGAGAAGAAAAAAGUAGAGGGGCUUUACCUACCCUGCUUUGUUAAUCUGAUGAGAUGAGCUAUGUUUGUGCUAUAUUCUGUUUCCCGAUUGGACUGUGCAGAAUCUGGAUUAGACAAAUGCUGAUUUUACUGAGAACGAUAUAAUUAAAUAUCUGUCUUUGUAUAAGCAUGUUCCCAGACACGGAUCUUCCAAGGCUGAUGAAGGGUCAUACCAGUGUUCCCUUCAGUCAUCCAGUUCUGUGCAUAUCUUCCCAAAAGAAGUUAGAUGGAUGUUAUUCAGCCUAACUCUUUAACUGAGUCUCCUCCCAUCUGUACAAGGAACUUUAUUGUCAUCUGAGACUGUGUCUCUUCACACCAUAUUAAACUGGACAUGACCAAAAGAUCAGGUUAUUGUAACUUGCUACUUGGGCUGCUUAUUCAACCACCUGAACAGUGGCCUUCAGGAAGAACUAGUCUUAACACUUGAGGGACUGCCUUUAAAAGCCACAGGGAAUCAGCAUAAACUGACUUUUCAAAUUGAUCUUAUUCCUUAAGGGUUAGAGGGCCACUUAAAAAUUCUCUAUUAUAGCCUGCAUAGUUCAAAAAUGGAUUCAA